rnacentral:rRNA from 1 species
CAGGUACAGCGGGAAGCCAUAUGGCGACAUAGAGCGGAACCCGAAAACCUGUCUCAGUUCGGAUUGGAGUCUGCAACCCCGACUCCAUGAAGCUGGAUUCGCUAGUAAUCGCGCAUCAGCCACGGCGCGGUGAAUACGUUCCCGGGCCUUGUACACACCGCCCGUCAAGCCAUGGGAGCCGGGGGUACCUGAAGUGCGUGACCGCAAGGAGCGCCCUAAGGUAAAACCGGUGACUGGGGCUAAGUCGUAACAAGGUACC